rnacentral:lncRNA from 1 species
CCAGGUCAGCACAUAGUAGUAGCUUUAAUGCAGAGCAAUCUGUUUAAGAAGAAAAGAAAUCGGUUGACGAAAACAACGUGAGCGACAGAAAUGGAGCUCCCUUAAGAUGGACGUGUGUAUGAGGACCAGCACUUCCGGCUGAUGACUUACAAAUAGUAAUGGUGAGUACCAGGCCUUGACCGUCCCAGAACACGAGAAGGCGGCGCUUUCCAGUGUCAGCGAUGAACGUCACAGUACAAUCGGCUGUUAUUUCGGGGCAAGGUGUCCUGGAUAAAGGAGAGCACGACGUACAGCUAUGCGACGCCCGACCAGGGCUGUUCAAGAAGUCCAGUCGGGACUUUUCUGGAUCAGACUUCAAGCCUUUCGGGGCACAUAUGAGUCUGGAAAAGCUAGAUGGCCACAUCGGUGGCUGUGCAAGGCAGCACGGGGUGCCGUAGGAAGUGGGCUGUCAUUAGUAGGCGAAGGCCAGCGACAUGGUGCCGGCCAAACCCGGCCCUCUUGCGAUCCUGAUGCUCCUAGCUCAGUCAGUACAAUGGGUGCGCAUAGUCCAUCAACAGCAGAAAGUGGGGGUCUUGGUGGUCUGUGGAGAGUGCUGUUGCCCUUGACGGCAUCCGCCUCCCCUUUAGCUACCCCUUCGUAACCAUACUAAGCAGUACAAGGGUUCGCGAUUGGGAUUUCGAUGGCAAAUUAGGGCCACCAAUGCGGUACCAACGCUUAUGCUUGCGCUGAUGGCAGCACGCCGAUGCGCUUGCUGCUUGUUUCACCUGUAUUGCUGGUCACAUUUAGUAUAUAUAUAUAUCCUAGCAGGAGCAUCCCACUUUGGGCUGUACAAUUCUAGGGCCUUGUCUAGGCCUAGCGAGUCCACUUGAUCAACACAUCUACACUAGAGGCUUAUUGGUGCUGCCACUCUUGUGCGCUGGAGUUUGUCACUUGUUGAGCAGCACGUUGGACCCACUGGGCCGCUCUAGGUGCCCUUACUAGCGUCCAAAUAGCUCCAUGGAGCAGCAAGGAAGAUUUUGUUGGGCUGAAUGAAGACAAUGCAAUCGCCUGACGGUGUUCUCUUCUCUGUGUCCUGUGCAGGCUUCAUUGGUUAUCUCACGCACAUCGCCAGGACCCCUUCGCACACAGAGCCACCCAGCCAAGAGCAGUGCCUGGUCUUCGCCGCAGUCUCCUGUGGCCACGCCCCGGCUGCGUGGCGAUGAGG